rnacentral:rRNA from 1 species
GCUAACUACGUGCCAGCAGCCGCGGUAAUACGUAGGUGGCAAGCGUUGUCCGGAUUUAUUGGGCGUAAAGCGCUCGCAGGCGGUCUUUUAAGUCUGAUGUGAAAGCCCACAGCUUAACUGUGGAGGGUCAUUGGAAACUGGAGGACUUGAGUACAGAAGAGGAGAGUGGAAUUCCACGUGUAGCGGUGAAAUGCGUAGAGAUGUGGAGGAACACCAGUGGCGAAGGCGACUCUCUGGUCUGUAACUGACGCUGAGGAGCGAAAGCGUGGGGAGCGAACAGGAUUAGAUACCCUGGUAGUC